rnacentral:rRNA from 1 species
UGCAUAUCAAAUAAGCGGAGGAAAAGAAACCAACAGGGAUUGCCUCAGUAACGGCGAGUGAAGCGGCAAGAGCUCAAAUUUGAAAGCUGGCCCCCUCGGGGUCCGCAUUGUAAUUUGCAGAGGAUGCUUCGGGAGUGGCCCCCAUCUAAGUGCCCUGGAACGGGCCGUCAUAGAGGGUGAGAAUCCCGUCUGGGAUGGGGUGCCCACGCCCGUGUGAAGCUCCUUCGACGAGUCGAGUUGUUUGGGAAUGCAGCUCUAAAUGGGUGGUAAAUUUCAUCUAAAGCUAAAUACUGGCCGGAGACCGAUAGCGCACAAGUAGAGUGAUCGAAAGAUGAAAAGCACUUUGAAAAGAGAGUUAAACAGCACGUGAAAUUGUUGAAAGGGAAGCGCUUGCGACCAGACUCGCCUGUAGGGUUCAGCCGGCAUUCGUGCCGGUGUACUUCCCUGCGGGCGGGCCAGCGUCGGUUUGGGCGGCCGGUCAAAGGCCCUUGGAAUGUAACGCCCCCCGGGGCGUCUUAUAGCCAAGGGUGCCAUGCGGCCAGCCCGGACCGAGGAACGCGCUUCGGCUCGGACGCUGGCAUAAUGGUCGUAAGCGACCCGUCUUGAAACACGGACCA